UUGUUUUACUGUGUUUCUAGCACUGUAGAAUUUCUUUCUUUUUGUAUGUUCUGACUUGGUAGGUAUUGGCUUUGGCUUUGAAAACAGUUAAAUCUUUUAGCUUAUCCAUAUCUUUAUCUGAAAUUUAUACAUCAGCCUUGCUAAGAAACCCCAAACAGGCACUACACAUUUUACCUACCCCUUAACUUAGAACUUUGGCACCAGGUGGAUUCUCCAGCUGUGCCUUCCCAUUUCUCUCUCCUUUCUGCCCUCUAGCCUUACUUCACUGGGUUCUAUACUUGUUCUCUUCUACUGUGGAUAUUUACUGAAUUCACUCACCGAGCUCUGUCCUAGAGGGUAGUGAUGGGCUCUAAAUACAAGGUGAUCUCUUUGGAGUGACAAAUUCCCAAGUAAUUACAUUUAAUAAUGUGUGAUAAAUCCUACAAUGGAGAGAGGUACAAAAGACACUGGUGGCGUAGGAUUUUUAAAAGGCACUUCUGCUUGGGGGAUUGUGGAAGACAGAGGAAUACUUGAACCAGACUCCUAGAUAGGAAAAGGGCAGGGGGGCUGGGGGUGAGAGUCUAGGCCGAAAGAAUAGAAUGACUUAAUUGCAACCAUUGCUGGUCAUCUUCAUUUCCUGCUUCCUCCCUCCUAAGUGAUAUAAUCAAGCCAAAUCCUGCCAUCAGCUGUAAUAUUAUGCUGUAUUUUGAGUAGAUAAUUUGAGUUAGGUUUUCCAUUCAAAAGGAAUAAAGAGCCACCGAAGACGGGUCAUUAGGGAGCUGUCUGGCUGUAUUUAGCUUUGCACAUCUUUGAGUAGACCUAAAUCUGCUCUGGAGGUCAUGUACCUCUCUUUGUCUUUCUUAGUUCUUCCCUUCUUAUCUCAAGACUUACUGUAAAUAAAAAGCUGCUUUGUUUGAGGUAUUUUUAUUUUGGAGAGUGUUAUUUUCUCAAGAUUGAUUUAGUUGUGGCUAAGGAGAAAAACUGAAGAGGCAGCUGUCAGAGAUUUUAUUUCUGAAGAGGUUCAAACUCUAGAAAGAAAACUACUUUAGAAAGAAGUCAUCUAGCUAAGAGUCUUUAUGUGCUUGAAUUUCAUCCUCAAGAACACUUACCUUAGAAAAUGACUUGAAUGGUCAAAGGAAUCAUUAUGGGAAGAAGGUGGGAACAGGCAUCAGGUUAAAACAUUACGAUUAUGACUGGGAUAAAAGAAACUAUCAAAAGUUGGUCUUUUAAAAGGAUCCCUCUAAGAUGUUAGCCAUCAUUAAAUAAAGAUGAUCAUUUUAAAAAUUCCAGUUUUCAGCUUGACAAAUGGUUACCAUAAAUCUGACCACCAUUGUGGAGAGGACUCAUGUAUGUGGUGCUCUCACCAUUGUGUGUGUCAUGGAGCUUGUGACCCCAUACUCUCUAAACGGGGUGUCUGGUCCCUGCUAGAGUGCUGAGUCACACUGAAACAGGAUUGCCAGAACUCCACUAAUAGCCACACUUUUCCACCCCUCACCAACUCCUUUGCUUAUUAUUCCUGUCAUUCUGGAUGGCAUUUCAGUGGCAGAAAGAAUAGCUUUCCAAGUCCAAAAUAUGAAAUAUUCAUUUUGUCAAGAUUUGGUGUUCUGAAACUGAAAUCCUUUUGCUUGUUUGUUUUCUGACUGGGAGGGGGCCGUGAAUCCUAAGAGCCCUAUUAAGGAAGAGCAUAUUGCUCGCUUAGAAGGAGAGGAGAACUUUGAGGAAUGAUUACAUGGUCAGAAUUCUAUUUAUAAGUGGGGAGGAAGUGCCAUUAUUUUUAUUUGGACUUCUGUAGUUUACUGGGUUUAUUAGGGUCUAUAUUUUAUUUAUAUUUCAUCAGAUGUAAAGCUGCUAUCUUCUUAGUAACUUCCAAGGAAGUUCGUAAGACUGACCAGAGAAAUGCAGAGUAAGGCAAGAUAUACUGACGGCCCUGUUGUGUACUGGCUAGUAUUUGUUUUUACUGUUUUAAUCAGUUAUCUGAUUUGUGCGUUGGUCAAAAUUUGCCAUUUUAAGGACAUUUAAGAUCUAUCUUCAUUUUAAUAGAAGGCUACCUCCCCACCUUCCGACUUGAGAAGUCGUUUUUAAUCAGGACUCUGAAUCACAAGCUUUCCUUCGGCAUGAGCAAGAAGUAACAGCGUCUCGCCGUGAGUUUUCACUGUUGGACUGGCCAGCGCACAGUCGGCCACUUCCCCUGUUGUCAGCUGCUGUGACUUCCCCACAGUUGUGGGUCAUGGUCGUGACUGGUAGGAAGGCAGUGGGACCUUUCCAAAUAAAAGUUCUCAAAUUGGAUACAACAUGAAACAGGAGCCCGACUUCUCUUACAGAUGCAGGGAAAUGGUGAAGGCGGCCAUUUGGAGACAGAACACACACCUUAUUCUUCCCUACAGGGAUGCAGUUCAGAAAACUUAACCCUAUUUUUAUCUGUACUUAUUGGGAUUAUUUUUACUUGGCAUCUGUAGCAAAAAUAGAAAAUCAGUAAUCCCAGGGAUCUGUGUUGAGCCAUUAUAUACGUUAAAGACUGAAGAGAAUUUGUGUUUAUAAAAUUUUCACUUCAGAAUUCGUUUGCUGGAGAAGCCCUUUUCCCACCCUAGUCCGAGGCAAGUACUUUCCUGGAGGCCCUUGAGAUGCCCCGCAGGCUUGCCGCCAUGCGCAGCCGCAGUAGGGGCUGCGGGGGCCCUCCGACCGUACAGCCUUGCGCAGCCGCAGUAGUGGACUGAGGGGCCUCCCCACAGCCCCGGGCUUGCGCAGCCGCAGUAGCAGGUGGAGGGGGCGUGUAACGGUUGCUCGCAGCCUUCCCUCGCGCCUCAGAGCUUGUCUGUCGCUUCCCCCGGUUCUCUUCCUCCGCCUCCGGAGUAAGUGGCCAUGAGUUGGGCUGUGGGAGUCCUGCGGGCCGGCCGGAGAGUGGGCGCUGGGAGGGUGACUUCGUCGUGUGUCUGCCGGCCGGCGGGCCUCCCGCUCACGGGCGCCUGGGCGGUCACCCCCGUGUCCGAGAUGGCAACCGUCAGGGGUGAGCUUAUCAAGAAUUUCACUUCCGAGGAGGCCGUUCAUCACAGCAAGGUCUCCAUUAUAGGAUAUAAUGUGGAUCAGUUGGCGUGGCCUGUGCUAUCGCAUCCUGUUAAGGGGCUUGACCGAUGAACUUGCCCUUGUGGAUGUUAAUGAAGACAAACUGAAGGGUGAGACCAUGGAUCUUCAGCAUGGCAGCCCUUUCUUGAAAAUGCCGACUAUUGUGUCCAGCAGAGAUUACCUUGUCACUGCAAACUCCAGCCUCGUGGUCAUCACAGCAGGGGCACGCCAGGAAUUUAGUCCAGCGAAAUGUGGACAUCUUUAAAUUAAUGAUUUCCAGCAUCACCCAGUAUAGCCCUCGCUGCAAAAUGAUUGUUGUUUCCAAUCCAGUGGAUAUAUUAACUUAUGUGACCUGGAAGUUGAGUGAAUUUCCCCAAAACCGUGUUAUCGGAAGUGGUAACCUGGACACUGCCCGUUUCCGUUUCUUGAUUGGGCAGAAGCUUGGUAUCCACUCUGAAAGCUGUCAUGGGUGGGCCCUUGGGGAGCAUGGAGACUCGAGUGUUCCUGUGUGGAGUGGAGUGCACGUCGCUGGUGUCCCUCUGAAGAAUCUGAACUCAGAUACGGGAGCUGAUCAAGAUCCCGAGCGGUGGAAGAACGUCCACAGAGACGUGAUUGCUCCUGCCUAUGAGAUUAUUAAAAUGAAAGGUUAUACUUCUUGGGCCAUUGGCCUUUCUGUAGCUGAUUUAACAGAAAGUAUUUUGAAGAAUCUUAGAAGAGUGCAUCGGUUUCCACCAUAAUUAAGGGUCUCUAUGGGAUACAUGAAGAAGUAUUCCUCAGUGUUCCAUGUAUUUUGGGAGAGAGUGGUAUUGCAGACCUUGU